CAGUAGCCACGGGAAUACGGAGGGUGCAAGCGUUAAUCGGAAUUACUGGGCGUAAAGCGCACGCAGGCGGUCUGUCAAGUCAGAUGUGAAAUCCCCGGGCUUAACCUGGGAACUGCAUUUGAAACUGGCAGGCUAGAGUCUUGUAGAGGGGGGUAGAAUUCCAGGUGUAGCGGUGAAAUGCGUAGAGAUCUGGAGGAAUACCGGUGGCGAAGGCGGCCCCCUGGACAAAGACUGACGCUCAGGUGCGAAAGCGUGGGGAGCAAACAGGAUUAGAUACCCCGGUAGUCCCUGUCUCUUAUAC
rnacentral:rRNA from 1 species